CACAGAUGAGAGAAGGUGGUUUGCUUGCAGCUGAAUAGUUUUUCCUCGCUUCUUUUCGAGGCUCAUUCCCUUUUGGGGAAGAGAUAUAAUGGUGUAAAUAUUUGGGAUUUAUUUUUGUAUUUAAAAGAUUUGUGUGUGGUCUUCCAUCACACGGGACCGCUGUUGUUGAGUGUAACAGAGCACUCCCAUUACCGUGAAAAAUGAAUCCUUCCAUCGGUUCCAGGUCUCGAAGCUCUCAUUUGUCCAGCGCGCAAAAAAAGUUGUCAGAAGCGGCAAAAGAAGUUGAACUAACAGAAAGAAUUCCAGCUGCCAGCAAGGAAGCAGUGGACUUCCUUUCCCUCAUUA